UCUCUAAGCACUGUGAGCUCAUGAUCAGUUCUGUUUGAGCUCACUGCCUGCUGGACAUUUGUGAUAUGGAUUCGUAAACAGAGAGUGGAAAGGGAAGGCCACUCUACAAAUCCUGAUAAGAGGAAUGAGGGCCCAAAGCAGGUUGUGAUGGAGAAGAAGCCAAUGCUAGAAAUGCUACAAAGGAAGACUCUUCAGGACUUGUUGGACAACUUUCGAUGGAAAUAAAGAGUAUGAAUCAAGGACUCCCAUACAAUUGUCCUUGAAACGGAAACAAUGAAAAGGAGAUCAGUCAAAGACGAGAGGUGUAAGGUUUCUGCUGUCCAUGCUCCCAGAGCUAAAGUUCUUAGAAGACCUACGGAAGUGACAUUUAUUUUAAUUUCUUCAAAAAUCGACUCAAAUUGAUUACUGCUCUUAGCUAGUCAGGAGAAAUUUUGCAUAUUCUUCUCACUCUAGGGGAUUUAAACAAGAGAGACGGAUGCCACUGGUUCCAACUUCAAGAUACUUGGAUCAUCAAAACAUCACCUCAAGGUCUUUCUACAUAACAGAUGACAAAAAAAUGUGGAAACCCCAGCGCGGAGAGCAGAAGUUACCUGCCUAAGGUCACAACGGUAGAAGUGAAAAUGGAGUCCAGAAUUGAGUCCAGAUACUCUGGUUCCAGAACUGAUGCUCUCUUGACCACUACACUAGGUGUCAGAUACACCUGCUGUUAGACCAUGUAUAUUAAUGUCAAUCCACAGAAACUUCAGGACCCAAGUGUCUUAAUAGAUCCCGUUAUUACAUGGUGGAGUACGGAUUAAGCGUGCGAUGAAAAUAAAGCUAGGAAAUAGGACAGCAUUAUUUGUUUCCCUUCUAGUCUCCAUCUCUGCCUUCACUGCUCCCUCUGAAACCUUCUGAAAUCCAUCCUUGAGCCUUAUUCUUCCAGAGCAGUACAUUGAUAAUGGGAAGUACUCAUAUGGCUUCUCUCUGCCUUAAUGGUAUGCAGAUGUAUAAUCCCAUUGAGGACAUGAGGCCGGCAACAGAAUUUUCCUUCUUUUGGAAGGAAAAUCAUGAGAAAGGUAAUUCAGGAAUGUAUAAAAUCAAAAUGCUGUUAUACCUCAGGGAAGCAGCAAAUGACCCCUAACAGCUAAUGAAUUUUAGCUUAUAUUUGUCUACAAAAUAAAGAAAAUGGAUGUAAUGAAUGAACCCUAAGUACAAGCUUCUAAAGUGGUAGGAAACUACUUCUGCUCUAUUACACUAACAGAUGAAACCACAGAGAGAAGCAAAAUAUAGAAUGAAUCUGAAGCUCCAACUGAGAGAGGGAUUUUCUAAAAAUCAAUUGUGUAAUUCAAUACAACACUGUGUUCUGAACAUGGAAGUGGGUCAGCUCACUCCCAGGGCUUUUAUGUUUCUUACAGAUCUCUAAUCCAUAUGAAAGCCAACAGGACACAUCUACCCAGGUUCAGAGGCGGGCUUGCUAUGCACAUAAUAACCAACAGAGUAUAGUUAACACAAUGUUUUUUCAGCUUCGCUGAAAAAAUUCACACAUCUUAUUGGUAGUGGAACCACUGGAAUAUUUCUUGUAUUUUAUUUUUCUUAAAUUCAUCGUGCACUUAAUGAAUGGAUGCUUUCAAAUUAACUUCUUGGAUUCACUGUGUUGAUUUUAAUAAAGUUCUUUGAAAAUACCAAAUUUAGGGCACCCCAUGUGUCACUCAUUCAUUCUUCAAGGCUCUUGAAAUAUAUGAACUUCUUUACUCUCCUCUAAAAUCUCAUGAAAAGGUGAACUAUUCCUCUCAUGUUCUGGAAUUAGAAAUCUAAGCAUAGAGAAUACAAGUAACUUGCACAAGGUUAUGUGGACAAUAGUAGAUGGCAGAGCUUCCAAAAGUAGGUGAUGUCCACAGAUG